rnacentral:rRNA from 1 species
UACAGGGGGUGCAAACGUUGCUCGGAUUUACUGGGCGUAAAGGGCGCGUAGGCGGUCAGCACAAGUCAGUUGUGAAAUCUCCGGGCUUAACUCGGAAAGGUCAACUGAUACUGUGCGACUAGAGUGCAGAAGGGGCAACUGGAAUUCUCGGUGUAGCGGUGAAAUGCGUAGAUAUCGAGAGGAACACCUGCGGCGAAGGCGGGUUGCUGGGCUGACACUGACGCUGAUGCGCGAAAGCCAGGGGAGCGAACGGG